UCACCCCUGGAAUGCUCGUGAUUGUGAAACAGUCUUUGCCCUAAGCAUUAUACAAUGGGAGUCCACACUUUUACUGGUGUGCUAAGUUCCAGCUUGUAAGGAAAAGCCUAAAGGUAAUACUGGACACCCACCUUUUGAACCAUGGUUCAAAGUCUUAACAAGCAGCACGGCAAUUUUGGGGGUGAU
rnacentral:other from 1 species